UUAAUCUAAAAAUAUGAACAGAGUAUAUUGAGAAAAGAAAGGGAAAGAAAAAAAAUCUGGUAAAAUGGAUCUAACAGUGGAUACAAAAUGGCUGUGCCUGAUAGUACCUGGUCUGAGGAUUGUGGGAAAAAAAAGGGAAGACAAGGCUGGAAGGAGAGAGGGAUGGAGAGAAAGGAAGUUGGUUGAGAAUGUGUCAUCCCUGUGAAAGCUCUUUCCAGUCACAAAUGUGGUGGUUUAUUUAUGAGUGUCUCAUCGUUUCUAAACAUUUGGGUAUUUUAUAAAACAUCCAUAGUAAUGGAAAGAUAAAUAUGCUGAAAUAAAAUUUUACAGAAUGGAUGUUUACACAAUCUUAAAAUUUUAUUUCCUUAUUUUUUUUCUCUCAGUGCCUUUUGAGAACCUAUUGAAAUCCCUCCAGCAAAAUGCAAAUGAGCACAGAAACCUGCAAGUACUGCACCGAGGCCCAUGGACCUAGUGGAGCUGAUGGAUCAUAGAUUCUACAGUUUUAAUUCCUAGUGGCCUGAGUAAGGCAGAUUCACGUGAUCAUUCUUCUGUCUCUUCGUUUAGGACAGUUUGAAAGGAGUCCAAAUGCCACAAGAUUUUAUUCUGCUCAUCAAUGCCACAUCUUUGAUGGCACCUAAAAACUGCUCUCCACUGAAGGACCCUGAAUCCUGAAAUCCAGGUAAUUCCUUCAUUACUGUCAUCCAAACUUCAUUCAUAAGUGAAUUCACUCUUUCUUCAUUCAUUCACUCAAAAACUAAGUAAUCUAAAUAGCCCCAUUGUUUGAUUUAAGCAAUUCAUAGUAAGAUGUGAAAAUCUUGGUGAAAUAUAGAUGGUAAUAUGCAGUGGUGAUGGAGAGAGCCCUCUAAAAAUUUCCAGGGUAUCUGGCUUUCAUCAGUGAAAA